AAAAUAAUAAUAACAAAAUAGUGUGGAUGACGAAAUAUGAUAAUUUAAAUUAAUACAAACUACGAAAGUCUAAGUACAACUCUACCCAGAAUUUGGUGUCACAAAGUCACAGACCAUCUAUGAAUACUACAAAUAAAGUCUGAAUAGAAAUGCACGAAUCCAUCUCUGAAUAAGUAAAAACAGAAAGGAAAUGAUAGGAGGAGACGCCAAGGCCUGCGGACGCCUGCAGGACUACCUCGGGUCGCCUGAAUGGACUGAAGACAACACCCUCACUGCGGUCCAAAAGCUGCUGCACUGGGAUCUGCACACAGUGCAAAGUGUAGUAUCAGCACAACCGACCCCAUGUGCUGGUAAGUGCCUAGCCUAACCUCGGUGAAGUAGUGACGAUGCUAGGACCAAACUACCAAAUAAACCUGUCCAGUUAAAUUAUAUAUAACGGAAAAUAAAGACAGAAAUGUACAGUUAAGGAUAGGAGGGGGAAACUUGCUGCGGGGAACAUCAAGUAAUGACAGAAGAACAACAGAUAAGUAUAAGGAACACCAAAGUUCAAUUAUCAACAAGGAUCAGAAAUAUCAGACAAGUACACGACAUCACCCUUCGUGCUUUUACUCUCGUCCUCACCAUAAAAUCAAUAAAAUCGGCACGACAUCACCCUUCGUGCUUUUAUCUCACAUAAUCAUGGCACAGAAUGAUCCUUCGUGCAUUAUCACUCAUAUAAAGGCACAGAAUUAUACAUCGUGCGGUAUGACAUCACCCCUCGUGCAUUAACACUCUCUCACAAUAUCAUACACGGCAUCAUCCUUCGUGUUUUAACACUCUUCCUUACCCAAACAACAAUCACAAAGCAAUAAGGGAAAGGAAAUCAAUAAAAUCACAAUAAAAUCCCGAUAAGGGAACAGUAGUACAACAACUAUAUUCCGGCAAAGGAAAACAAUAUCAAAACAAUAACCUCCCGACAAGGGAGAUAACAUUAAAACAACAACAUCCCGGCAAGGGAGACAAUAUCAUAAUCCUCUUUUCUUUUUCACAUUUAUUUCACAACUCAAUUCACAAUUCGAGCCAAUGCACUAUAUGUUCAAUUGCCAAUUAUACUUCCACAAAUCAUUUUACGACUAGAGGCAACACUCUUCAAUGUUCAACUGUGACGACCCGACCGGUCGUCUUAAGAAUUAAUGCCACGAUCUCCUAUUAACUACUUUUCUCGUAUUUAUUUUUGCUAUUUUGAUUUGCCUAGAUGUUCGGUUUUGAGUUUCGGAAAGUUUUGGGACACUUAGUCCCUAAAUGAGAGCUUAAGUGUUGGAAAUUUGACCAUAGUCAGAACAGUGUGUAGACGGCCUCGAAAUGGAAUUCUGAUGGUUCUGUUAGCUCUGUUGGGUGAUUUCGGGCUUAGGAGCAUGUUCAGAUAGUAUUUUGGAGGUCCGUAGCUAAUUUAGGCUUGAAAUGCCGAAAGGUCGAAUUUUGAAGUUUCCGGUUUGAUAGUGAGAUUUUGAUAUGAGGGUCGGAAUGAAAUUCCGGAAGUUGAAGUAGCUCCAUAGUGUUAAAUGUGACGUGUGUGCAAAAUUUCAGGUCAUUCGGGCGAGGGUUAGUAGACUUUUUGAUCGAAAGCAUAUUUGUAGAGUUUUGGAGUUCUUAAGCUUGAAUUCGUGGUUGAUUCAUUUCGAUGUUGUUUUAGGUGUUUUAAGGAUUGGUAUAAGUUUGGACAGUGGUAUUGGACUUGUUAGUGCCUUUGGUUGAGGUCCCGGGGGCCUCGGGAUGGUUUCAGAAGGUUGUCGGAAGAAUUGGGAGUUGUUUGAGCAGUUUCAUCUGCUGGUCUUCUGUCAUAACCGCACCUGCGGUUUGGUCCUGCAGGUGCGUAGCCGCAGAAGUGGCAUUGUCAUCGCAGAAGCGGAAAUUGAGAGGAAUAGAAGGAUCCGCAGAUGCGGGAGAUGUACCGCAGAAGUGGUACCGCAUCUGCGAAUGGUGAGUCGCAGGUGCGGAGGAGGCUGAGUUAGUAAUUAUCGCAGAUGCGACCGUUGGUCCGCAAAAUCAGGACUGCAGAUGCGGUCCCAUGACUGCAGAAGCGGAUUAGCUUGGCAGAAACAUAUAAAUUCUUGCCUUUGCAAAUUUUAGCCAUUUUUACCUCUUUUCAAAUGGGAAGAAGCCUUGGGGAGCAUUUUCAAGAGGAAUUUUCAGAGGAGUUCAUUGGGGUAAGGUCUUUGAUCCCUAAACUCGUUAUUGGAUUGAUUUUUAUCAUUAUAAGCAUGAAAAAUUAAGAAAAAUCAGUGGUAAUUUGGGGGUUAGGGCUUGACUAGUUAGAGACCUUUGAGUGAUGAUUUGAGGGACCAUUUAAGGCGAUUUGGUACUUUUGGUAUUACUGGACUCGUGAGAGUGUGAGGAUUCUGGAAAUGUAAAUUUUACCCGAUUCCGAGACGUGGGCCCGAGGGGCAUUUUGGUUAUUUUAUCUAAUUUCGCGUAUUAGCUUAGAAUUUCUUUGUAGAAUCAGUUACUUGAAGUGUUAUUUACAUUAUGCAAUUGAAUUGAAUAGAUUUGGGCCAUUUAGAGUCGAGUAUUCGUGGCAAGAACGUGGUCUCGGGUUGAUUUUGAGCCGGUUCGAGGUAAGUGGCUUGUCUAACCUUGUGUGGGGGACCUUCCCCUUAGGAUUUGGUAUUAUUGAUAAUUGAAAUGCCUUUUACAUGAGGUGACGAGUGCGUACUUGUGCUAAUUGUUGAAAAUCCGAUUUUCAUUAAGUAAUUACUAGUAUGUUUCCUUUCUUGUUUUUAUUACUUGCACUAUUAAGCUUGUUGUUAGCUUAGGAAAGCAAGUCUAAGUGAUUUAAUUGCUUUAUUUGCUCAAACUGUUUUACCUGAAUUCUAUGCAGCAUGCUAGGCUAGAAUUAUUUGUUUGCCUUAAUAUGAAAUUUGACAUUUCUGAAUAUUUUCCUAUUGCUGCUGUGUAUUUAUAUUGGGACUACGGAUGUGGGACGAGUAUCUCCCCCUUGUCUGUUUACAUUUGGGACUACGGACGUGAGAUUCCGGUAGAUCCCCCCUGCAUAGUUAUAUGAUACUACGGUACUGCACUCGGUAGAUUCCCCCAGUACUGGAUAUUUAUAUUUGGGACUACGGAACGGGAUUCCGGUAGAUCCCCGCGCACUAUGAGUUGGACUACAGGACGGUAUCCUAGGAGAUCUCCGAUUGUUAUUUUUCGUGCUGAGCCGUAUUUCUUUCUGUGUUUACCUUGCCUUUGUAAUAGUUGUUGUUGUCCUUUAUAUUUGUGUUACUUUUACUGCUGUACUUAUUUAUACUGUUCUGUUCUACACUAUCGAAAUUUAUAUUUUAUUUAACCUCAGUAGGGCCCUGACCUUCCUCGUCACUACCUGACCGAGGUUAGGCUUGGCACUUACUGAGUACCGUUAUGGUAUACUCAUGCCCUUUCUGCGCAUGUUUUUCAUGUGAAGAUCUAGAUACCUCGACUCAGUCCUAUCACCCUUGAGGCGAGGUGACUGUUCUAGAGACUUCGAGGUAUAUGUGCCGCGUCCGCAGACCGAGGAGUCCCUUUCUACUCUCCCUAUUGUAUUAGCCCUUCUGUAUUUCUUUUCCUUGUUAGUAUUCUGGAGUUAGACACUGGUAGACAUUCCAAGGCUUGUGGUUUCAUGAGAUUCUGGUUUUUGGGAAAUGUUUUUAGUUUUGAGAAGUUGUAUUGUAUAUGCCGAGCGGCAUUUUAAAUACUGUUUCAUUUGAUUAUUUUGGCUUUUAAUUAUUUCUUUCGCAAGUUUUGUUUAUUUUCCGCAUUUGUUAGGCUUACCUAGUCUUAGAGACUAGGUGCCAUCACGGCAGUUCACGGAGGGCAAAUUAGGGUCGUGACAAGUUCAACUGCUAAUAUUACUUCCACAAGCAUUAUUCAACAAUAGAAAUCAUCACAUAAGGCAUGAACAAUACAAAACAGAAUCACAAUAAUCAUAGUAUAAGACUCACGAGCAUGCUUGACUCCAGCGUAUAGAUACUUGUCAACAUGCCUAUACGUCGUACUCAAUAUUUAUCACAAACCAAUUAAGAUACGACUCCUAAUCCCUCAAGCUAAGGUUAGACCAAACACUUACCUCGAUGCCACAAACAUAAUUUAAGCCUCAACUACCGCUUUACAUUUUGAUUCCACUACCAAUUCGCUCGUAUCUAGUCACAAGUUACUUAACUAUAUAAAUACUAAAUGAAUCAAUUCUAAUGCAUGAAAAUAAGUUUUCCAAUGAUUUCCCCAAAAGUCAAAAAUCUACCCCGGGCUCACAUGGUCAAAACCCGAGGUUCGAAUCAAAGCCCGAUUACCCACAAACCCAAAUAUAUAAUUUGUUUUGAAAUCGGACCUCAAAUCGAGGUUCAAAUUUCCAAAAUUUGAAAAACCUAAGUUCUACCCAAAACACCCAAUUUUUCCCAUGAAAACCCUUGAUUUUGAGUUGAAAUCAUGUGAAAGAUGUUAAAGAUUAAUAAAACGAGUUAGAAAUGAUUUACAAUCGAUUUGUAAGAGUAUUUUUCUUUGAAAAAUCGCCAAAAGGUGUUUAGGUUUUGAAAAGGGUUGAAAAAUGGUUGAAAAUGCGUCUAAGUUAUGAUUUAGCAGGUUGCAGAUAUCGCAAUUGUGCAAACCCUUCAGAACCUGCUAUCUUUGCAAUUGCGAAGAAUAUGUCGCAAAUGUGACACUAGGAAAAUUCACUAAGCUUCGCAUUUGCGAGGAAACAAUCGCAUUUGCGACUCUGGCUCCUUUCGCAUUUGCGAUCAAAUGGUCGCAUUUGCGAUCAAGGCCUGCCCAGGCCAUCUUCGCAUUUGCGAGUUGCGAAGCCUGCAGACCUGUAGCAUACCAGCAACUUCCUAAGUCCAAAUUUCACUCUGUGGCCUAUCCAGAACUCACCCGAGCCCUCGGGGCUCCAAACCAAACAUGCAUGCAAGUCCAAAAACAUCAUAUGGACUUGCUUGUGCGAUAAAAUCAUCAAAAUAACAUCAAUAACUAUGAAUUUAGCAUCAAAAUUAAAAAAAAAUCUCAUGAACUCUUAAGUUCAAAUUUUAACAACCGAAGGUCCGAUUCACAUCAUUUCAAGUCUGUUUCAUACCAAAUUUUACAGGCUCAACUUAAAUCACAUAUAAGACCUGUACCGGGAUCCGGAACCAAAAUGCGAGCCCGAUACCAUCAAAUUCAAUUACAUUCAAAUUUCCAAAAACUCUAAAAUUUUUAGUUAAAUAAUUUUCUUCAAAAAUUCAUUUCUCGGGCUUGGGACCUUGGAAUUUGAUUCCGGGCAUACGCCCAAGUCCCAUAUUUUCUUACGGACCAUUUGGGACCGUCAAAUCACGGGUCUGAGUUCGUUUACCUAAAAUAUUGAUCGAAGUCAACCUAAAUUCAUUUUAAAAGCAAAAUUAAUCAUUUUUCACAGAUUUUCACAUAAUAGCUUUCCGGAUACACGCCUAAACUGCGCACGCAAAUCGAGGUGAGACAAAAAGGAGGUUUUAAGGCCUCAAAACACAAAAUUUAUUUCUAAAACAAGUGAUGACCUUUUGAGUCAUCACACCCUAUCAUUAUUUCUUUUUUCUAUAUAUAUGGGACAUGUUCCUAAGAAACCCUAAUAGUACAAGUGCAGAGAAUAUCCACUAGAAUAUUCUCUUUUGAUACCCUAUCUUGACAAACUAGCCGUUACAACUCUUAUCAAUGAUAUUCAACCUCGAUCUCGACCCUUGUUUGUCAUCUCGACUACGGCUCUCGUCAACAUCCCGACUACCGGUCAUGUCGCCACUUCAGCCAAGGGCUUUGCUGCUUCUUGGCCUAUCUCGACCAAUGGCGAUUCGAGAAUUCCUUUUUUAGUAUUAUCUUACCUCAAAUAUUAUAAGGGCGGAUUUUGACCCAUACAUUAUAUACACUACCUCUCUAAACCCUACUUGUGAGAUUAUACUAGGUUGUUGUUGUUGUUGAAUAUGUAUAUUUUAGUCUAAAACUACCGAUAUAUUUUAAAAUCAAUAUAUUUGUCAUAUGUAAUAAGCAAUUACGUUUUCCUUUCCCCUCAACAUAUAUCAAGUUGUAAUUUAAUUGUUGAGAUUACAUAUAUGAAGUUUAAAUAUACUUUUAUAGUUUUAAUCAGCUGCUUGAAAUUCUUAUAUUUUUAAUAUUUUUUAAUAUUUUUUUGGCUUUAUUUACUUGAUCUAUCCAUAUAUAAUACUAUAACUUUUAUUUUUAAAAUUCAAAUAAUUUUCACAUUUCAAAUAAAAAUAAACCUUAUUCUUCAGAAUUACCUACAACUGGUUUUUUUUAUUUUAUAUGUUUUCCUCUUGUUAUCGUUUGUUAAUUAUUAUUGAAUUAUCCAUUAUUAUUUAUAUAUUAAAUUAUCACAUCUUUAAUUAGCUUACCAUUAAGCUUAAUAUUCUUGCUAAUUACUCUUGGAAAAUUGCUUUCUUUUUAAGGUGUGUUUGAUUUGAGGAAAAAUAAUUUUCAAGUUAAUAUUUAUCAUGAUCAAGUCAUGAUUUGAUAUUUGGUAAGACGAAAAUCAUCUUAAAAAUAUAUAACAACCCGACCGGUCGUUUUGAGACCUAGCACGUCGUUCGGCGGUUUGAGGCCUUGAGUAAAUAGUAAAGAGAUUGGUAAUUGUAAUGACCCGGCCGGUCGUUUUAAGAAUUAACGCCCCGAUCCCCUAUUAACUGUUUUCCCCGUAUUUGUUCCUGCUAUUUUGAUUUGUCAGGAUGAUUUGUUUUGAGUUUCGAAGUGUUUUGGGACACUUAGUCCCUAAAGAGAGCUUAAACUUUAGAAUUUGGACUGUAGUCGGAGCAGUAUGAAGACGGCCUCGAAAUGAAAUUUCGUCGGUUCCGUUAGCUCUAUUGGGUGAUUUUGGGUUUAGGGGCAUGAUCGGAUUGUGUUUUGGAGGUCCAUAGCUUAUUUAGGCUUGGAAUGCCGAAAGUUGAACUUUUGAAGUUUCCGGUUCGAUAGUGAGAUUUUGAUAUCGGUGUUGGAAUGGAAUUUCGGAAGUUGAAGUAGCUUCGUAGUGUUGAAUGUGAUGUGCUUGCAAAAUUUCAGGUCAUUCGAACGAGAUUUGAUAGACUUUUAUGUAGUUCUUAGGCUUGAAUCUGAUGUUAAUUUGGUAUUUUUGAUGUUGUUUUGAGCAUUCCGAAGGUUGGAACAAGUUUGAAUGAUGUUUUAGGAUUGGUUGACAUGUUUGGUUGAGGUUCCGAGGGUCUCGGGUGUGUUUCAUAUGCUCAACGGGUCAUUUUUGGACUUGAAAAAUUGCAGAAAAUGCAGCAGGUCUCCGGUUCUGGUUUCCUUCUUCACGUUCGCGAAGAGGAGCUGGGGCUAGUGGAAGCUUAACGCUUCGCGAUGAUGGUCCCGCGUUCGCAAAGCUCUGAGGUCGUAUGCCUAUGUGUUCGUGAAGAGGGUCCCGCGUUCGCGUAGGAGGGAGAAGGCUGCUAUCGCGUUCGCGAUGAAGGAAAUCUGGGCCAAGCAAAGUUGUGCUUCGCAAAUGCGAGGGUCCUUCCACAUUCGUGAAGAAGGAUUUACCUGGGCAGAUUAUAAAAUUUCAAAGUCGAGGGUUUAUCCAUUUUUAUCAAAACUAGAGUUUGGGAGCUCGGAUUUGAGCGAGAUUUUGAGGGAUUUUCAGAGAUAUCGAUUGGGUAAUAAUUCCUAACUCCUUUUUGUUUAUAACCCAUAAAUCUAAACGUGAAUUCAUCAUCUAAUUUCAGAUUUGGGGUGAGAAAUUGGGGAAAAUUUCUUAGGCCUAAUUUUCGAGUUUUGAUUGGGAAUUUGACAUCGGAUUUGGAUAAUUUUGAUAUGGUUAGAUCAUGAGUAAAUGGGGUUUCAUAAUCCGUAACUUUUACCCGAUUCCGAUAUGUGGGCUCGGGGGAUUUUUUGGGCAAUUUUCUUAAUUUCGUGUGUUAACUUCAAAUUAAUUAGUGAAAUUAGUUACUUGAAGUUAUAUUUACAUUAUGCAAUUGAUUUGAAUAGAUUUGGACCAUUUGGAGUGGAGUACUCAUGGCAAGAGCGUGGUUCCGGGUUGAUUUUUGAGCCGAUUCGAGGUAAGUGGCUUGUCUAACAUUGUGUGGGGAAAACUCCCCUUAGGAUUUGGUGUUGUUGAUACAUGAAAUGCCUUAUGCGUGAGGUGACGAGCGCGUACAUAUGCUAAUUGUUGAAAAUCCUGUUUUCAUUAAGUAACUAUAGCUGUGUUUUUCUUCCUUGUUGUACAUUACUUGCAAUUUAAACUUACUAUUAGAUUAGGGAAGCAUGUCUAAGUGACUUAAUUGCUUUAUUUGUUCAAACUGCUUUAUUUGAAUUUUGUGUAGCAUGCUAGGUUAGAAAUACCUAUUUUACCUUGGUAGGAAAUUGGGUUGUAUUGAAUAUUCUUCGUGUUGCUGCUAUGUGUUUACUUUGAGACUACGGGACGGUAUCCCGGGAGAUUCUCCUAUUUCUUUACUUUGGGACUAUGGAUCGGUAUUCGUAGAUCCCCCUGUACAUUUAUAUUUGGGACUACGGGACAUCACCCGGUAGAUCCCCUGUACUGGAUAUUUACUUUGGGACUACGAAUUGGUAUUCCGGGAGUUUCCCCUGCUUCUUUAUGAUUCGGACUACGGGGUGGUAUCCCGGGAGAUCCACCUGUUGCUAUUUCUGUGCUCUGAGUUAGAUUCCUUCUAUGUUUUUAAUAGAUAUAGACUGUUAGCACUUAAAUUAUAUUGUAGUAUUCUAUACUGUUUACCUUGUUUAUUUCAUCUAUAAUCAGUAUGGCCCUAACUUACCUCGUCACCACCCGACCGGGGUUAGGCUUGACAUUUACUGAGUACCAUUGUGGUGUACUCAUUCCCUUUCUACGCAUGUUGUUUCAUGUGCAGAUCCAGGUUUUUCGGCUCAGCCCUACCAUCCUUGAGGCGAGACGAUCCUUCAGAGACUUUGAGGUAUAUUUGCCACGUCCGUAGACCGAGGAGUCCCUCUCCAUUCUCUUUUGUAGUUACAACCCUUCUUUAUUUACUUUGUUUUAUACAUUCUGGAGUUAGAGCACUAUGUAGUAUCCUUAUCUCUAAUUUCAUGAGAUUCCGGGUUUUGGAAAGUUGUUCAGUUUUUCAGAUCUUGUAUUAGUACAUGCCGAGCGGCAUCUUAAACACCUUUAUAUUGUUUAUCUUCAGUUUUUAUUAGUUUUUCCGCAUUUUGUUUCUUUUUCUGCAAUUGUUAGGCUUACCUAGUCGUAGAGACUAGGAGCCGUCACGACAGUUCACGGAGGGCGAACUUGGGUCAUGACAAGUUGGUAUUAGAGCUCUAGGUUUAUAGGAGUCAUGAAUCACAAGCCAUUUUAUUAAAGUCUCGCGGAUCGGUAUGAAGACGUCUGUACUUAUCUACGAGAGGCUAUGUAACUGUUAGGAAAACUUCACUUCAUUUGAUUUCCUUGUCGUGCAAGAUUUUUGAUAUCACAAUUCUAAACUUCUAUCUUCUAUUCUCUUACAGAUAGUGAGGACACGUGCUACCGAAGCUGACCAGGCACCCGUGCCCCAUACUAGAGCUCUCAAAGGUUGGGUUCGAGGUAGAGGCCGAGGACGCGCUCGUGGUGCAGCCAGAGCACUCGUGCGAGCUGCCACGGAAGAGCCACCAGCAGUUCUAGCUGGAGUCUAGGCACCUGAUACGCCUACUGCUACUACUAUUCCAGCUCUUUAGGAGACUCUUGCAUAGUUCGUGAGCAUGUACACCACUGUAGCUCAGGCAGGGCUAAUUCCCCUUGCUGCAGCCACAUCCCAGGCCCGGGGAGGAGCACAGAAUCCCGCUGCUCGCACUCAUAAGCAGCAAGUCCAGGUUGAUCAGGUCCCAGAGGUUAUACCAGUAUCGCCUGCAGUUCCAGAUCAGCCCGAGGGUAGGGCAGCGGCUUUGGAGAAUGAGCAGCGGAGGCUUGAGAGGUUCAAGAAGUAUAAGCCUCCUAUAUUCAGUGGUUUAGCAUCAGAUGAUGCCUACGGAUUUCUGGAGGAGUGUCAUCGUAUCCUCCGCACUAUGGGUAUAUCAGGAUUGAGUGGGGUUUCUUUCACUGCCUUCCAGCUUCGAGGAGUCGCCUACCAAUGGUGGUGUACUUUUGAGUUGAUAGCCCAGCUGAGGCAGCAUCCCUCACUUGGACUUAGUUUUCAGAUAUGUUCCUGAGAGAGUUUGUUCCUUAGAGCCUCAAAGAUGCAUGGCGUGCAGAGUUUGAGCAUUUGCGCCUGGGCACUAUGACUGUUUCGGAGUAUGCUAUCCGUUUCAGUCACUUGGCUAGGCAUGCACUAGCCUUGGUUGCUACAGUUCGUGAGAGAGUUCGUCGGUUUAUUAAGGGGCUCAUUCCCAACAUUAGGUCUAGCAUGGCUCGUGAGUUGGAGAUAGAUAUUUCUCAUCAGCAGGUGGUGAGAAUUGCUAGGAUAGUGGAGGGUAUGCAUGCUCGGGAUAUAGAUGAGAGGGAGACCAAGAGAUCUCGAGAGUCGGACCAUUAUUCUGGUGCCCGUGCUCCAGCUGCAGUUUGUCAUGGUAGGGAUUAUAUGAGUCACCCCAUUCAUUCAGCUCUUCCAGCAGCCAGUGGUAUUCCAUCUCCUCCUAGACAUCAGGAGCCUUAUUAUGCACCUCUAGUAUCUAGUGCACCUCCUACACGGGGUGCUUUCAGUGGUCAGUCUAGCAGACCUGGUCCGAGCUAGUCACAUCCACCACAUCCUCCCAAAGCUUGUUUUGAGUGUGGUGACACACUCCAUAUGAUGAGGGAUUACCCUAGACUUAGGAGGGGUUCACCUCCACGGACUUCUCAGCCACAACGUGCCCCACAGAGUUCCCAGGCUAUGGUCCCAGCACCAGUUGCUACCCCGCCUGUCCAGCCAGCUAGAUGUGGAGGUCGGGGAGGUAGAGGCCACCUUAGAGGAGGAGGCUAGGCCAUAUAUUAUGCCCUUCCUGCCCAUACCGAGGUUGUCGCCUCCGAUUAUGUCAUCACAAGUAUUGUCCUGGUUUAUCAUAGAGAUGCAUCGGUUCUAUUUGAUCCAGGCUCCACUUAUUCUUAUGUGUCUUCUUAUUUUGCCCCGCAUUUGGGCGUAUCUCGGGAUUCUUUGAGUUCCCCUAUUUAUGUUUCUACUCCUAUGGGGGAUCCUUGUUACACCCCAUAUAUUCGUACGUAAAAGUAUACCAUAAGAAAAUUGACAUAAGCUCGAAAAUGAGAUUUUACAUCCCCGCAUUUUCAUACGUUAAUGUUUUGUCGUAAGUUAAUCGACGUAAGUUCGGGAAUGAGAUUAUUUUGGGAUUAUAAGUAUUAUGCUAUUCCAAACAAGUGAUAAGUAAAUUCGUUUAGGUCAGAGAGUAAGCGAAUCAAAGGAAAUGAGUUUCGACGAAGUUUGACAUUUUGGGAUAAAUACGGUCCGAGCUAUAACACCUGGUAUUUAUGGGCUAAUCCCAUUCAAGGUACCACAUGACCAUGAUAGUAGGGUACAUAAAGUGUGUCAAAUGAGUAGUAUUUUAAGUAAUUUGAGAUAAUUCUCAAUUAUGUGAAUAAUUGGUUAAUUGUUGGAUUAGUGGGGGUUUAAUAAGUUAAUUAAGGAAAAAGUGUAAAAAUUUGAAUAAGUUUAAAGGGGCUUAACGUGGCAGCCCCCCAAAUUUCAGAAUGUUGACUCUUAAAUUAUGAUGAAAGGUGGCUAAUUUAGGCAGAUUAUGGGGCUUAGUCACAUAGCAUGUGGGGGCACACCAUUUAAAGCAUCAACCCCUCUAAAGAGAGUUGCUUAUAUCAAAAUUGGCAUUCAAUUUGCUUUAGUAAUGUGACAUUCUGUUUCAACAAUAAUUCAAGGAUUCAAGCUAAUAUUCCUUAAGCAUUUUAGCAAUGUGACAUUUUUGUAAUUCUAACGAAGCCCAGUAUAAUCUUUAUCAAGAAUAUCAUACGGAUUUUUUCCUACUCUGAUUUUCCCGUCACGUGAUUUAUCGCAAUUGACGUGCGUUAGAGGGAUUGUCAAGAGAAUCCACUCAGAUAUGUUAAGCCUAUCCUUUCUUUCUUUGGCAUGAUCUAUACGACACAAACGAAACGAGAAAAUGCACAAAUUCUAUAAAUUACUCUAUUCAUAGAAAUAUUAGAGAUGUCGAUGUUCUUGAUUCCCUAUGUGUCAUAUUAUUUUAUCAUCUUUUCAUCGGUCUCAAAAAUACGUAAGUUGGUAAAAUUUAUUUCAUGAUAUUAGUCAGAGCCAUAAUGGUCUUAUNNNNNNNNNNNNNNNNNNNNNNNNAUCAGCUGGUAUACGUUGAUGAUUUGCCCACAGUGGCUGAAAUGAUAUGAUGGGAUGCUUUCAGAGGCUUGAUGAUGUUAUGAACACAUACACAUAUGCAUGGUAUGACAUUUAUACGCAUAUGCAUGAUAUUAUAAAAAUAAAAUGAUUCAUAGAGCUAUGCCAAAGUACAUGUCCAGUCUUUUACUCCAUGUUUCUCUUAUGUCUAUUAUUUACUGAUUUUCAUUCCUUACAUACUCGGUACAUUAUUUGUACUGACGUCCCUUUUGCCUGGGGAUGCUGCAUUUUAUGCCUGUAGGUCCCGAUAGAUAGUUCGAGAGCCCUUCAAGUAGGUUAUCAUCUCAACAGAAGAUGUUGGUGAGCUCCAUUUGCUUCGAAGUUGCUUGUUUGGUUAGUAUAAUUCAGAUGUGUAUUGUUUGGUAUGGUGGGAUUCUGUCCGGACCUUUAUGAAAAUUAUGUAGUCUUAGAGGCUUGUAGACAGAUGUCAUGUACGUAAAAGACUGUAUGGCCUUGUCGCCCUAUGUUCAGCGUACGAGUGGUUAUUUUGGCCUCAUAGGACCAUAUGUCUUAUGUAUAAGUUGGUAUCACAUGUUGUAUUCUACUUAUCUCAUAGCAGCCAUCCGACUUAGUUAUCUAUGAUAGUAUGACAUGAAAAGAUAUGUUAUGUUGGUACUCGGUUGAGUAAGGUACCGAGUGCCCGUCGCGACCCAUCGAUUUGGGUCGUGACAGAAGGAUUUGGGGGGGCUACCACGUUAAGCCCCCUUAAACUUAUCCAAAUUUUUACACUUUUUCCUUAAUUAACUUACUAAACCCCCACUAAUCCAAUAAUUAACCAAUUAUUCACAUAAUUGAAACCUAUCUCAAAUUACUUAAAAUACUACUCAUUUGACACACUUUAUGUACCCUACUAUCAUGGUCAUUUGGUACCUUGAGUGGGGUUAGCCCAUGAAUACUGAGUUUUAUAGCUCGGGCCGUAUUUACCCCAAAAUGUCAAACUUCGUCGAAACUUAUUUCCUUCGAUUUGCUUACCCUAUGACCUUCACAAAUUUACUUAUCACUUGUUUGGAAUAGCGUAAUACUUUUAAUCCCAAAAUAAUCUCAUUCCCGAACUUACAUUGAUUAACUUACGAUGAAACGUUAACGUACAAAAAUAUGGGAUGUAACAUCUCAUUUUCGAGCUUAUAUCAAUUUACUUAUGGCAUACUUUCACGUACGAAAACAUGGGGUGUAACAUUAUUCCCCACUUUGGAACAUUCGUCCUCGAAUGUUGACUGAUGCACUUAUCAUUUUCGUAACGUUUGCCUUCCGAAUACUUUAGUACUCUCCUUUCCAUCUAGGAAACUUGUGGUCGGAAUCCUUCCAAUCUCUUAACUAUUACUACCUUCUAUCACACAGUCUGUACGCCACUGACCUUAUAUGUGCGCAUAUAUGACUCUUCUCCCCUUUUUUUUGCAUCUUUUAGCUAUUCUCUAGUUCUCACUUUGUGAACAUAUACAGAGCUUGACAAGAUUUACCUCUGGGGAUCCAUAGGUACACUGAAGUUCUUUGCUCGGUACUUUGUUGAACUUAUGAAUAUUGCUAUAUCUUGUUUCAUAGACCCGGUUAUAUAUUCGUAUGAUUUUACUGCAUCUAGGUAGGUCAUACUAUACCAUAAUUCUUACUUCAGUUUAUCGUUGUUGAGGUCUGCUACAAAAUUCUAGCUUACUCUUGUUGCUUAUCCUAUAUGUAUAAAUCUAAGUCUUUUAGUGCUUCCUCAUUACUGUUUAUCUUAAGAAUGACGACUUAAUCUCAUCUCAUACUUUGUGACUUUUGUUCAUCCCUUAUUGAUUCACUUUAAUACUUAUUUACAAUAUACCACCGAUAACUUGAAACUUCUUACGUAAUACCUUUCCACUAGGGCUUAUGUUGCAUCGAGGAAUAUUUGAAGUGAUUUUCCUGAUCCACUUAGCGGCUAUAUUGUACUUCAAUAACUGUAUUUUAUCCCAAAUUGACAAACAUCGAUGAAACUCGUUUUCUUCGAUUUGCUUGCCCUCUCACAUUUACGAAUUUACUUAUUCCUUAUUUGAAAUAGCAUAAUACUUAUAAUUCCAAAAUAAUCUCAUCCCAAUCUUACAUCGAUUAACUUACGAUGAAAUAUCAACGUACAAAAAAAAAGCGGGACGUAACAUCUCACUUCUGAGCUCUCAUUAAUUUAUUUAUGGCAUAUUUUCACGUACGAAAAUAUGGGGUGUAACAUCAUUCCAUAUUCCCCCAUUUACGGGAGUACUAAGAUUUAGUGCUACGAUGAUCUUCCUAUAGAUGUUUUAUCUCUUCAUCCUUUGCAUCUUUCCACAUCAUUGAUGACCCUUACUCGCCUUGCGGUAAUCCUUCUGUACCAAGGAUAACAAAAUUCCUUACUCAUGAGGGAGACACCUAGUGUAUCUGGCACACACAGUCCUUUAAGCUUAACUUUGCUCACAUUUCUUGCUUUAGGAAAGCGUCUUCCUGAAUGACCUUUAAAGGGCAUUCUUCUGUUGUCCAUUCUAUUAUCGCUGGAACACAAUCUCUAAAAUUCUCAUGAUGCCAAAUAUUAUCAAAUCACCCAGUCCAUAAGUCACGAUUAGUUUAUCUUGUUUACUAGCCCAUACUGAUUUUUAUUACUCUGGAGGGGGGGGGGGUCUAACUAUUCCUUCUGGUAUUCAUGUUGGAGUCACCAACUCAUUUUUCGAAACAGGGAUAUGACUUUAUGGAUUAUACUCUUUAUUGGCUCAAGUCCUGUCACCUCGUGUCUUUUCCUUCAUUUGACAAUAGACUUUGCAAUAUUGUGAUAAUUCUUUUCUACCAUUGUCAUCCAUGUAUCACAUCUUACUCAUAAUGCUUCAUUAACUCUCUUCUUAUUUCCCUGCUAACAUUUACGCUUAUCACUUUAUUCGAAAAAUUCGAACAAGACAUUAUUUUACUUCUAGCUCCCUUGAUCUACCUAUUGGCUCUUCGGGUUGCCUCAUUCUUUCUCUACUAGGGACAAGAGCCACACUAAGGAAAUAUUUAUCCCUUCAAGGCUCCAGUGCCUAUCUUUGUAGUACUCAUAUCUAACUAUACUAUUUUAGAGUGCACCAUCUGGUGUCUCACAAGGAGAUCUUUUAGCAAUUUGCAACAUCCUUCAGAAAGGUCAAAUAACGCAAAUAAUCCAUCCAUCAUUUUGGAUUACUCUAACCCCAGUAGGAUUCUGAUAUCCGUCCUUCGCUUAUACUACUUCUGUUAGCCCCAUAGGGCAUAAAUGAGAUGGGUAUGCAAUUGUAAAUACCUUUGUUAUUGUUGAAGGUAACUCACAAUGCUUAUAUUUUUCUGUCGGAAUUGUAAUACUGAUAAUCUUCAAUAACUGGGUGCCUCGUACCCUUCUUCAUCUUGCUUCUUUUACAUGCUGAAACUUGCGUCUCCCUCCUUAUUCCUUUUUAUCGUAAGAGUGAAUAGGCAUUAUUGCCUUAGGGAUCCUUAUCAAGAAGGUUACACAUCUUAGUAUACACACGAUUUGCUGAAUACCUUAUAUUUAUCCAUCAUAAGCAUGAUGCAAAAAUUGAGUUCCUCUGACUCAACUCUUCCACAGCUAUAUCUCUUACCAACCGUCUUUCUAGAUGUAGGCAUCGUCGUAUUAUGAAUAAGAUCGAGUUUAGGAAAUUGAGUUCUUACAAUUGAACUCUAUGACAUGAUCUAGAGUAAGAAGAAAGAGUGACAGUCCUAAAUGUCCUGUAUCCUCAUGCUUAUAAGUGUGGUGCAUGACACACCCAUAAACAAGACCCUACUAGACACGGCUUGUAGACUCCCUAGGAUAGAACUGCUCUGACUUAAUGCCACAUAAAUCCACGUAAUCUUUCUUGGGUUGUUUUAUUUGUCUUAACUUACCUCUCGCACUAGGUCCUUAUUUAUCCAUAACAUCCCUUACUUAUUUUCCUUAACGUCGUGCUUGCAUAAUGUUCUUUAAUUGUAGCAUAUCUGUAGGAUUUGAGUAGUGAAAUCUUAUUUUUGUCGCAUUCUUCCUUGACCAUUCCAUAGUUAUUGAACCAAACCCAAACUGAUGGGCUGCGACGGGCACCCAAUACCUUACUCAACCGAGUACCAUCAUAGCAUAUCCUUUCAUGUCAAACAUUCAUAGAUAACUGAGCCGGAAGGCUGCCGUGGGAUAAGUAAAAUACAAUAUGAAGUAAACGUUUUCAACUUACGUAUUUAUCCGAGACCCAUGAACAGAAGAUAUAAUCAUAAUCCACAUAGGGAAUAUGGAAUGAUGUUACACCGCAUAUUUUCGUACAUGAAAAUACGCCAUAAAUAAAUUAAUGAGAGCUCAGAAGUGAGAUGCUCCAUCCCACAUUUUUUUGUACGUUUAUAUUUCAUCGUAAGUUAAUCGACGUAAGCUUGGGAUGAGAUUAUUUUAGAAUUAUAAGCAUUAUGCUAUUUCAAAUAAGGAAUAAAUAAAUUUGUGAAGGUGAGAGGGCAAGCAAAUCAAAGAAAACGAGUUUCAUCGAAGUUUGUCAAUUUGGGAUAAAAUACGGUUAUUGAAGUACAAUAUAGCCGCUAAGUGGAUCAGAAAAAUCACUUCAAAUAUUCCUCGAUGCAACAUAAGCCCUAGUGGCAAGGUAUUACGUAAGAAGUUUCAAGUUAUCGGUGAUAUAUUGUAAAUAAGUAUUGAGGUGAAUCAACAAGGGAUGAACAAAAGUCACAAAGUAUGAGAUGAGAUUAAGUCGUCAUUCUUAAGAUAAACAGUAAUGAGGAAGCACUAAAAGACUUAGAUUUAUACAUAUAGGAUAAGCAACAAGAGUAAGCUAGAAUUUGGCAGCAGAUCUCAACAACGAUAAACUGAAGUAAGAAUUAUGGUAUAGUAUGACCUACCUAGAUGCAGUAAAAUCAUGCGAAUAGAUAACCAGGUCUAUGAAAUAAGAUAUAGCAAUAUUCGUAAGUUCAACAAAAUACCGAGCAAAGAAAUUCAGUGUACCUAUUGAUGCCCAGAUAGAUAUUUUAUCAAGCUCUGUAUAUGUUCACAAAGUGAGAACUAGAGAUUGGCUAAAAGCUACAAAAAAGGGGAGAAAAGUCACAUAUGCGCACAUAUAAGGUUAGUGUCGUAUAAGCUGCAUGAUAGAAGGUAACAACAAUUACGAGAAUGGAAGGAUUCCGACCAGAAGUCAAGAUGUGAGAAAGAGGCCUAAAGGGGGGAAUGCACUAGCCUUUGGAUUUAUUCACACAGUAGUUGCCUAGAUGGCAAGGAGAGUACUAAAGUAUUCGAAAGACAUAAGCUACGAAAAUAAUAAGUGCAUCAGUCAACAUUCGAGGACGAAUGUUCCAAAGGGGGGAAUAAUAUUACACCCCAUGUUUUUGUACAUGAAAGUAUGCCAUAAGUAAAUUGAUAUAAGCUCGAAAAUAAGAUGUUACAUCCCGCAUUUUCGUACGUUAACGUUUCGUCGUAGUUAAUUGACGUAAGUUCGGAAUAAGAUUAUUCUGAGAUUAUAAGUAUUAAGCUAUUCCAAACAAGUGAUAAGUAAAUUCGUAAAGGUCAGAGGGUAAGCGAAUCGAAGGAAAUGAGUUUCGACGAAGUUUGACAUUUUAGGAUAAAUACGGUCCGAUCAAUAAUACCUGGUAUUUAUGGGCUAAUCUCAUUCAAGGUACCACAUGACCAUGAUAGUAGGGUACAUAAAGUGUGUCAAAUGAGUAGUAAUUUAAGAUAAUUAUCAAUUAUUUGAAUAAUUGGAUUAGUGGGGUUUAAUAAGUUAAUUAAGAAAAAAGUGUAAAAAUUUGGAUAAGUUUAAGGGGGCUUAACAUGGCAGCCCCCCAAAUUUUAGAAUGUUGACUCUUAAAUUAUGAUGAAAGGUGACUAAUUUAGGUAGAUUAUGGGGCUUAGUCACCUAGCAUGUGGGGGCCACACCAUUUAAAGCAUAAACCCCUCUAAGAUGAGUUGCUUAUAUCAAAAUUGGUAGGCAAUUUGCCUUAGUAAUGUGACAUUCUACUUCAACAAUAAUUCAAGGAUUCAAGCUAAAAUUCCUUAAGCGUUUUAGUAAUGUGACAUUUUUGUAAUUCUAACGAAGCCCACUAUAAUCUUUAUCAAGAAUAUCAUACGGAUUGUUUUUCUACUCUGAUCUUGCUGUCAUGUGAUUUGUCGCAAUUGACAUACGUUAGAGGGAUUGUCAAGAUAAUCGACUCAGGUAUGUUAAGGCUAUCCCUUUUUUCUUUUGGCAUGAUCUAUACGACACAAAUGAAACGAGAAAAUGCUCAAAUUCUAUAAAUGACUCUAUUCAUAGAAAUACUAGAGAUGUUGAUGUUCUUGAUUUCCUAUGUGUCAUAUUAUUCUAUCAUCUAUUCAUGGGUCUUAAAAAUACAUAAGUUGGUAAAAUUUAUUUCAUGAUAUUAGUCAGAGGCAUAAUGAUCUUAUGACGUACUGAGAGAUUUUAUUAACAUAUUUUCACAUGUAUUUACAUAUGCACAUUGACUCAUGACCAGAUGGAGUUAUAUACGCAUAUAUAUAUGUAUAUAUAUGUAUAUGGGAUAUGAAAAAGGUUAUGGCAUUAUAUAUGCACCACCACCUGAUCAACUGGUAUACGUUGAUGAUUUCCCACAGUGGCUGAAAUGAUAUGAUGGGAUGCCCUCAGAGGCUUGAUGAUGUCAUGAACGCAUACACACAUGCAUGGUAUGACAUUUAUAUGCAUAUGUAUGACAUUAUAAAAAUGAAAUGAUUCAUAGAGCUAUGCAAAAGUACAUGUCGAGUGUUUUACUCCAUGUUUCUAUCAUGUCUAUUAUUUACUGAUUUUCAUUCCUUACAUACUCGGUACAUUAUUUGUACUGACGUGGGGGCACUGCGUUUCAUGCCCGCAGGUCCCGAGAGACAGUUCGAGAGCCUCCAAGUAGGCUAUCAGCUCAGCGGAAGAUGUUGGUGUGCUCCAUUUGCUUCGGAGUUGCUUAUUUGGUUAGUAUGAUUCAGAUAUGUAUUGUUUGGUAUGGCGGGAUUCUAUCCCGACCUUUAUGAAAAUUUUAUGUAUUCUUAGAGGCUUGUAGAUAGAUGUCAUGUACGUAAAAGACUGUAUGGCCUUGUCGCCCUAUGUUCAGUGUACGAGUGGUUAUUUUGGCCUCAUAGGCCUGUACGUCUUAUGUAUAAGUUGGUAUCAUCUAUUGUAUUCUACUUAUCUCAUAGCAGCCUUCCGGCUCAGUUAUCUAUGAUAGUAUGAAAUGCAAAGAUACAUUAUGUUGGUACUCGGUUGAGUACCGGGUGCCCUUCACGGCCCAUCAGUUUGGGUCAUGACAAUUCUCUUGUUGUGGACCGCGUUUGUCGAUCGUGUUUGGUUGCUCUUAGUGGUUUUGAGAUGAAAGCUGAUUUAUCAUUGCUCAGCAUGGUAGAUUUCGAUGUUAUCUUGGGCAUGAAUUGGUUGUCGUCCCAUUAUGCUAUUCUUGAUUGUCACGCCAAAAUCAUGACGCUGACUAUGCCAGGUGCACCGCAAGUAGAGUGGAGGGGUACUUUAGAUCACACUCCUAGUAGAGUUAUUUCUUUCCUUAAGGCUCAGCAAAUGGUUUAGAAGGGGUAUGACACACAUCUAGCCUAUGUGAGAGAUGUUAGUGUUGAUACUCGUAUAGUUGAUUCAAUCCCGGUAGUACAGGACUUUCUUGAUAUAUUUCUAGCUGACUUUCCCGGUAUGCCACCCGACAUAGAUAUUGAUUUUGGUAUUGAUUUGUUUCCCAACACCCAACCUAUUUCUAUUCCUCCAUAUCAUAUGGCCCCUCCUGAGUUGAAGGAUCAAAUACAGGAAUUGCUUGAUAAGUGUUUUAUUCGGCCCAGUGUAUCACCUUGGAGUGCUCCUGUCUUGUUUGUAAAGAAAAAGGAUGGUUUUAUGCGUAUGUGCAUUGAUUAUCACUAGUUGAACAAAGUUACAGUGAAGAACCAAUAUCAUUUGCCUCGUAUUGAUGAUCUGUUUGACCAAUUACAGGGUGCACGAGUGUUUUCUAAGAUUGACUUGCAUUCGGGUUACCAUCAGUUAAAGAUUCGAGAGCCAGACAUCCAGAAGACUGCUUUCAGGACUCGGUAUGGUCAUUACGAGUUCCUUGUUAUGUCAUUUGGGCUGACCAAUGCCCCACUAGCCUUCAUGUAUUUGAUGUACAGUGUGUCCCGACCAUAUCCUGACUUAUUCAUCAUUGUCGUUAUUGAUGAUAUUCUGGUAUACUCCCGGAGUCGGGAGGAUCAUGAACAACACCUGAGGACAGUGCUUCAGACUUUGAGGGAAAAGAAGUUAUAUGCAAAGCUAUCGAAAUGUGAGUUUUGGUUGGAUUCCGUGGCAUUCUUGGGUCACGCGGUAGGGUGAUUGCCUACGCGUCCAAACAGUUAAAGGUACAUGAGAAGAAUUAUCAUGUCCAUGAUCUCGAGUUAGCUGCUAUUGCUUACGCCUUGAAGAUCUGGCGUCAUUAUUUGUAUGGUGUUCCUUGUGAGAUGUACACUAAUCACCAGAGUUUCUAGCAUUUGUUCAAGCAGAAGGAUCUUAAUUUGCGCCAGAAGAGGUGGUUAGAGCUGCUGAAGGACUAUGAUAUCACUAUCUUAUAUCACCCCGGUAAGGCCAAUGUGGUGGCCGAUGCUUUGAGUCACCAGGCGGAGAGUUUGGGGAGUUUCGUUUAUUUACCAGUAGAAGAGAGGCCCAUGGCGAUGGAUGUUCAGGCCUUAGACAGCUAGUUUGUGAUAUUGGAUCUUUUAGAGCCUAGUCGGGUUCUAGCUUGCGUGGUCUCUCGGUCUUCUUUAUUUGAUCGUAUCAGGGAGCGUUAGUAUGAUGCCCCUUAUUUGCUCACCCUCAAGGAGAAGGUUCUGCACGGUAAUGCCAGAGAUAUGACUAUUGGUGAUAACGGGGUAUUGAGGAUGCAAGGUCGGGUAUGUGUACUCAAUGUUGAUGGGCUUCGGGAGUUGAUUCUAGAGGAGGCCCAUAGUUCGCAGUAUUCCAUCCAUCCAGGUGCCGUGAAGUUAUACCAGGAUUUGAGGAAGAACUAUUGUUGGAGGAGAUAUAGUUGGGUUUGUAGCUCGGUGCUUCAAUUGUCAGCAGGUGAAGUGUGAGCACCAGAGACCAGGUGGGUUGCUUCAGCAGAUAAAGAUUCCGGAGUGGAAAUGGAGCGGAUCACCAUGGACAUUGUAGUUGGGCUCCCACGGACUUUGAAAAUGUUCGAUGCCAUUUGGGUGAUUAUGGAUCGGCUGAUCAAGUCCGUGCAUUUCAUUCCUGUGUGUACUACCUAUUCUUCGGAGCGAUUGGAGGAGAUUUAUAUCCGGGAGGUUGUUCGACUGCAUGGCAUUCCAGUUUCCAUCAUUUCAGAUAGAGGUACUCAGUUCACAUCAUGGUUAUGGAGGGCCGUACAACAUGAUUAAGGUACUCGGGAAGAGUUGAGAACAAUAUUUCACCCCUAGACGGAUGGACAGUCCGAGCGCACUAUUCAGAUUCUUGAGGAUAUGCUCCGUGCGUGUGUUGUCACACCUCAUUUUUUACCUACACCCCGUAAGGGUAGUAUAUAGGGAGUUUUUUCCAACUUAAAGUGACAAUCGAAACGAGAUUUAUUUAUUAUUUAAAAUUCAGAGUCGCCACUUGGGAGAUUUAUAGUGUCCCAAGUCACCGUUUCCAAUCCCGAAUCGAGGAAAAGAUUGACUCUGUAUUACAGUCUGUAAACCAGAAAUCCGGGUAAGGAAUUCUGUUAACCCGGGAGAAGGUGUUAGGCAUUCCCGAGUUUCGUGGUUCUAGCACGGUCGCUCAACUGUUAUAAUUGGCUUAUUAUCUGAUUUUAAUACAUGUUUUAACCUAUGGUUCAAUUUUAAACUUUAUAACCGCUUUAAUUAUUUUUAAGGAAGAUUGCAACAUCAUUUAAAAUACAUCUUGAACCACGUCACAUAAAUGCACCCACGGUCCCCGACACAUUUUAUCCAACGUUGUUGAGAUUUGGAUUUGGGCCACAUAAAUGCACACCCGAAUUUAGGAAGGUAAAUUAUUAAAAUAAUGCGCCUAAAGCAACUACGUGUUUACAACUUUGCGAGGACCAUAGAAAUUUUGCUAAAUGGCACGCCUCGAAUUAUAAUAAUCAAAUUAAGACCAUUUUUGUUUGGUAUGGCGCAUCUAAAUUUUUAAAAGAAUUAUUAUAAUUAUCCGAGGGCCAUGGGUUAUCUAAUUUUUGCUUAUGGCACACCUCGAAUUUAAUUUUAAGGGAGGUUUGAACUAAUCUUUGAGGGCCAUAGACUAUGAAAUUUAUUAAAAGAUAUGGUAUAGCCUAACCACUUCAUUGAAUGACUCCUUAUGUGAAUUAUCUUGGUAGGAAUAUAAAGUAUGGAUCAAAAGUAUUUGCUAAAUGGCUCAGAGAGUUCAAAAUCAUUUUCAAUCCAAAAUCGAGUCUGAAUUCAUUUUUUCAACCUUAGACCCAAAUAUUAUUUUUAUUCCUUAAGUGCCCAGCAACAACUGAUGUCCCAAAUAACUUGAGGAUCCAACUUUGUAUUUCUAACACUACCUAUCAGCACUUUAAAAAAUGAGAUCAAAUUAUAUAUUACUCGUGACUAACAAAAAAUGAGACAAAAUUAAUUUCUAAAUAAACAAAGAUAACAAGAUAAAACUAGAAGCAGAAUAACAUAGCACCACGUCCAACUUAGCCUUUUAUAUCAAAUUCGCUCAUUAGAUGUCGGGCUUCAAACUAAUUCGGAACUCGAGAUUAAAAAGGGUCAUAGCGAGUGAGUCAUAGUAAAGAAUCCAGGAGUCAAGCAUGUAAGGCAAAGACGUCAAAAUUUCAUUAAACUCAUCAAAAGCUAAUUGGCAACAAUAUUUACAGAAACUUAAGAAAGAAAAAGGGAGGAAAAGAACCUUGAUUUUGACUGCCUCGCCGACAAUACGAACCAACUUGGGAGAAUUUUGAACCAAGGACCAAAUACUCAGGCAUCAAAUCGAAAACCUCGACCGGAAAAACUCCCUGGUAAACUCGAAACUAUGCAGCGAAGAAGCUAAAAGAUAAGCUAUUCAUGGUUGUUUGUUGAAGGAACACGAGGAUAUUUGGUGUUGAUCUUUGCUGGAGUUUUAGGUGGUGCUCGAUGGACUACUUUGAGGUGAUUUUCGUCUGGGUUUGGGGCUGAUUUUUGGUCAAGGGAGAUGGGUUUUUCGGCAGUUUUUAAAUGUUUUUUCUGCAAUUUCGCACAUGAUUUCGAUACUCUUUGGGGAUGGAUUUUGCAGCUGAUAUGGGGCUGUUUUGAAGCUGGUUUUUGCUGCUAUUUCAGAGGUUAUUUUCGACUGAAAAACAAAGAUAUUUUCGAGCUUGUUUUGGUGCAUUUUUGGGUGUUUUCAAGGGUGUUACCGGUGGUUUUAAGGAUGGAGAAGAAAGUGAAAUCUAUGGGUCUUUCAUUGUUAGCUCUAGAGCUCCUUAAUGGAGGUUUGAAGAAGAAGGUCUCUCGAUUUUUGCUCUCUGUUUUCCUCAAAUCUGUUUCUUCUAUCUCCCUUCGUUUUUUCUGUCCCAGAUCCCUCAGCCCCCCUCCUUUUUCUUUAGCUGAUAGGUGUUCCUGUAUGUAGAGUCUAGGUUUAGGUUAUUAUUUUGUGUAUUUUGCCAAUUAGUCCCUAGGUCUUUUUGUGUAUUAGGUCCUUAGGGUCUUUUUAUUUGUUU
rnacentral:lncRNA from 1 species